rnacentral:lncRNA from 1 species
ACUUUUUUUUUUUUUUUUUUUGGCCACACUCACGGCAUAUGGAAGUUCCUGGCCCAGAGACUGAAUCGUAGGUCACAGCUGCAGCAAUACUGGUGCCUUAACCCACUGCACCAGGCUGGGGCUUGAUCUUGUACCUCAGCAGUGACCCAAGCCACUGCAGAGACAAUGCUGGAUCCUCAACCCACUGUACUGCAGUGGGAACUCCUGAAAUUCCACUUUUAAAUACCUGGAAGUAAUGAAAACUUUGGUCUAGAUUCAAUUCCCUUCCCUGAAAUGAGGCGGUUGCAGGCUGAGCUCUCUGGGGGUUGCUGGCUGACUUCCUGGGGCUUCCACUUUCCUGUGGUCUGUCCUACAGCUCUGACCUGCAUGCCCAGGAAAGCCAAGCUUUCAGAGACUGGAGUGUGCAGGUGAAGACUGGAGCCAGAUUGCUUGGAUUCAAGUCCAUCAGCUCCUGAAAUGACUUUGGGCUAGUCGUUGCACCGCGGCUUGUCAACUGUCCCCUCUGUAAAACGAGCGAUUGUGACAGUACUCACUUCGUUCAUUGUGAAAGUGUGAAGUGUGUUAAUAUUUGUCAGGUGCUUAGAAGAGUGUCUGGGACAGCGUUAAGCACUACGUUAAGUGUUUAUUAGAUAAAGAAAAAUUCCCUUUCAAAAAAAAAAAAAGAGAAAACUUUUGUCUAUAAACAGACUAUGUAUUUUGAUAGCAAUUUGUUUAUCAUAGCCCCAAACUGGAAUUAACUCAGUUUUUCAUCAUUAGGUUAAUGGAUAAACAAAUUGUGGUAUAUCCACAUAACGGACUAACGGUGAGCAAUAAACAAGAAUAAACUGCUGAUCAGCACAAAUUAGCUUAGUCUCACAAACAUUAUGAUGAGAAAAAGACCUAGAUUUCUAUCAUAUGAAAUUCUGGAGCCUGAAAAAUUAAUCUCUAGGGCAGAGGGGGCUGGGGUUAGGAUUGACUGUAAUUGAGCACAAGAGAUAUUAUUGGGGUAAAGAAAACGAGGUAUCUUCAUGGGGGGUUGUUUAGAUGGAUAUAGGUAACAUUUCUGUACACACAUAAAAAUUAGGGAAAAGGGCAGCAUUUAUUUGCUGAUCAGUCUAGCCCGUGCCCACCUUUCUCUCCGCCUGGCCCCUUUUCCAUCCACCACAGCCCCAAACCCCCUGAGCAUCUCAUGAAUCUUCUGCUCUGUACAUCUCAUUGUGGCUGCUCUGGGAGUGAUCAGUGCUGAGUGAGUUUGGGUUCCUCCAAAUGUGCAGGUGGUUUAUGUGGGAGCUGAUCUGGGGAGACACAGGGAGGAGGGGACGGGGCAGGAGAGAGAAAAGUCCUAAAGGCUGAAUCAGAGUGCAGGUCUCACUGUGGGCUCCGUCCUGCUGGGGACCCUCUGAGGAAGUGUGUGGGACAUGCCUCAGAUUUGUCUCUCGGAGGAGAGCUGGGUAUUCAUCUACUCACUUCCAUCCCUUCCUGGUUGAAAGGUGCCCCCAAGGUGUUAAAUCCCUGGCACAUUGAGAUUGCCCUUCUCAUCACUGGUCAGGCCCCCAGGACACCGGAGAACCCCCCACGUGGAGAAGCAAAGGGGAGCAGGGCCUGAGGGGGCAAUGGUCAUUGCACCGGGAACAGCCCACUGCAGGAGCAGGUGAAUGCAGAGCUUCUGCCACAGCCAACAUCCCUCACUUAGGGACUACCUUAGCCUUCCCCAUUUCUGAUAUCCAUCAUGCCUCCCCCAUCCAUCCCCCAAGGCAGUUAGCGGGCCUCCCAACAGUAACUCCUGCCUAAAUCCCUUCAGCUGCUCUUCUUGGCUCUUGGGAAAAGAAAAAAAAUCCUUACCCCUGCCUCAGGGAUUGGACCUUGUAUGACUCAUGCCCCAAGCCCCCCUGCACAGCAACCACUAGGGAGAUUUUUCCACUCUGCAGACACCCCAAGAAUUGAACCCUGGUGAACUCAGAAAGCCAGAUAACUGCUGCCCUUCUUCUCCCCUCCCUCUUUCCCUCUCCCAGUCCCCUGGGUCUCUUGGCCACAGUGUUGGCUCAAUUCCAGAAUUCCAGGGCACUGAAAUGCCCAUCUGGGAAUUACACCUUCCUAAGGAAAGACCUGAUGCUGUCUGCCCAGCUGUGUGCUGUUUUCACUGGCUCAGUUAACUCUUAACCACCAAACCCUAUCUCAGCUCUAACCAGCAGAGGAACACCAACUUCAAGCUAAGUGCAUAAUUUGCUGCAAAUUAAACUUAAUGGGACUAGAAUAAUUAUGUUGACUUUUUAAAGUACUUAAAGAUAAAUAUGAUAUUUUGGAACAUAAAAUUUCCCUGUACUUUUCCAAAGGAGGCAGAAAGGAAGAUGAAGCAGGACAGACAGAAAGAUGCUGCUGAAGAAGGUGGGAGCCAGGCAAGCUGGUGAAAAGGAAAGUUUACUUUAUUUCAGUGCCAGCAACCAGGGUGGGAGGGUGGAGGGUGGACUCCUGUCCAAAAGCCAACUUCCUCCGCCUGCCCCCACUGAUGAUCAGUGGGCAAUAGUGUCAUAGGCAGAGGGAGGGGGCAGCACAAAGAAACAGCACAGUAAGCUGACUGUCAUCUUGAAACUGGCCAUGUGGUGGUCUAACCAGCACUAUCUUGAUGGUUUUAAAUACAGUUCAUCUUCAGUUCCAGGGCUGGUUUGUUCCCAUUUUCUUGAGGCCAGUUCUCAGAAUUGUGGCUGCUUAUGUCAUGGCCACUACAGUCUGGUCAUCACGUGGUUAACUUCUUCCACUUGGUGGAGAUUUCUGUCCAUAUCUACAUGACAUCUCGCAGGAUAUGGCUCAGAAUAUUACCUAUAACCCUUGAGGGGGAACUGAAGGUCCUUGACUUUGUUUAAUAACUGAACUAUUUUACUUGGUCUCAUCUGACUGUUGUCCUUUGCGCCUAGAUUUUCUCAAUUCUCUGAUUAAACCUGUCCUCUGACUAUAGUUUUUCUGCAGAUGAAAGACAGGCAGAAGCCAUGGAGGGGAAGGACCACAAGGUCCUGCUCUCUUUCAUGAAGGCGAAUUCACAGUAUGCACCCAAAGCCUUAAAAAUGCCUGUACCCUUCGACUUGGUGAGACCAGAAAUCUGUCAUAAGGAAACAGAGAUGGAGACAAAGAGCUGUGUGCAGGGCCAGACAUCCCAGCAUCGCUUAUACCAGCCAAAUUUAGAUGGGAACCAUCGAACUGCCUUCCAAUGGGGAAUUAGUGGUAUCAGUUAUGGAAUAGCCCAUAUACUGGACUGUAGUGUGGCCAUUAAAAAUGAGCUCUUCAGUGUUCCCUGGUGGUCUAGUGGCCAAGGGCUUGGCAUGGUCAUUGCUUGUGGCUCAGGUUCAAUCCCUGGCCUGGGACCUUCUGCCUGCCAUGGGCAAGGCCAAAAAGAAGUGCGUUCUUCAAAAAGUAAUUCAUGCUGGGAACAUGCUUAUACAAAAUAAAGGCAGGCAAUAAAAGAAGCGUGUAAAACUGGACAUAAAGUAAAUUCCUAAUUUUUCUCAUAUAAGCAAAGGAAAAAUAAAACCCAGAAGGAUGUAUGCAAAAAUACCAACAGAUGUUAUCUCUGCAUGGGGGAUUGUAAAGGGUUUUGUUUUUCUUAUUUUUUUUUUAAGUUUGAAAAUUUUCUGGGAUGAGCAUCUAUUGCUAAAAUAUUACUUUUAAUUUGUUUUCGAAUGAAGGUGGUUAGGAGUUCCUGCGCUGGCCUAGUGGGUUAUGAACCCAACUAGUAUCCAUGAGGAUUCAGGUCAGAUCCCUAGCCUUGCUCAGUGGGUUAAGGAUCCGGCAUUGUUGCAAGCUGCAGUGUAUGUUACAGAUGUAUCUUGGAUUCCCUGUUGCUGUGGCUGUGGUGUAGGCCUGCAGUUGCAGGUCCACUUCGACCCCUAGCCGGAGAACUUCCAUAUGCCACAGGUGUGGCCAUAAAAAGAAAAAAAAUAAAAAUAAAAAUAAAAGGGAGGUAAGUAUGCAAGGAUCUCUAUAGCUGCCUUUUCCACACAGAGAGACUUCCUAGAUCCAGCUCUGGGACUAGGGUUCUAAUCUCUGAAUCUCUGGAUGAUCAUUUAAGUCUUUCAGUUCCUGGAUGAGGGCCAGGCUGCCAGUUGUCACUCUGAAUCCUGUUUCCUUUUCUUUAGUAACAGAAUAGAGUGCUGCUGUAUUCUCUUACUGCUUAAAAGCUCUAUUUACUAGUUCCCUCCCCUUCCCUUUCAGAUGGGAUGGCCAAUGGAAUAUGAAUAGAAGUGUUAAGUGUGACUUUUGUUUUAAUGCUUUUUAGGACCAUACCUGCAGCAGGAACCAGGCUAGGGGUCAAAGCAGAGCUGCGGCUACUGACUUACACCACAGCCACAGCAAGGCCAGAUUUGAGGCAUGGCUGUGAUCUACACCACAGCUCACUGCAGAGCCAGAUCCCUAAUCCACUGAGUGGGACCAGGGAUUGAACCUGCAUCCUCAUAGAUAGUAGUUGCAUUCAUAACCCACUGAGUCACAGCAGGAACUCCUAGAAAAGCUGUUUGAUGGGAGCUUAGCAGCUGGAGAAACCCUCUUUGCUCCUUUCUCUCCCUUCCCUUGUCUUCCUGUCUAGAGGGCUACAGUAGUUUCUGGAGCUCCAGCAGCCAUUAUAUGGCCAGUAGGCAAUACUUAGGAUGACAUCAUGCACUGGUAAAGCGAAGACAAAGAAAGAGACUGAACAGUGACAAAAUAUGUGGAGUUAACAAAGUAUACUGAGAAUUCCUAUGUCCCAAAUUCUCUUAAACAAGAGAAAAAUAAUAAUCUUCCUGGAGUUCCCAUUAUGGCUCAGACGUAAUGAACCUGUUUAGUACCCAUGCGGAUGCAGGUUUGAUCCCUGGUCUUGCUCAGUGGGUUAAGGAUCGUGUUGCCAAGAGCUGUGGUGUAGGUCGCAGAUGUGGCUUGGAUGCUGCGUUACUGUGGCUGUGAUGUAGGCCAGCAACUGUAGCUCCGACUGGCCCCCAGCCUGAGAACUUCCAUAUGCCACAGGUGCAGCCUUAAAAAGCCAAAAAAAAAAAAAAAGUCUUCAAUUUGUUUAAGCCACUAUUGUUCAGCUCAUUGUUACUGCCAGUUGAAUGCAAUUCCAAAAAGAGACACUGGGUGACAGUCAAGGAUGGCAGAGAUAUGGUGGACCUUGAGCUACACCAUAGACAUCUCAGGGAAAUUAAGAAAACAGCAACUUCUAUUGGAGCAAGGAACAAUAGGCCCAGGCUAAGACGAAUAGAACAGUGACAUCUGUAAACAGAAAUAAUGCUUGUAAAAUAAUAUUUAGUGGGAUCAAGCUGGCCUUGGUUACUGGACUAUGUGCCUGUAAAUGUGGAUCAGCCUCAUGUAGCAGGAGGGGUUUUGUUGUCAGGACAGUGGGGUCAAGAGGGUUGGUGUUGAUAACUUAUGAGGACACCGAGGCAAUAGCUAAAUUAUGGUGAGGUGAAAAGCGAACCUGUACGUCGGGCGUUCUGGACUCUGCUUGUGACCUUAAGAAAGUCAUUCUUCCUCUCUGGGCUGUUUCUUGUCUAUUAAUGAGAAGUGGGUGGUUGGCCCAGAGCAUCUCAGGUUUUUUUUUUUUUUUAAUGACAUCAAGGAUCUCUGGCCAUAACCUCAGG